rnacentral:rRNA from 1 species
UACGUAGGGUGCGAGCGUUGCCCGGAUUUAUUGGGCGUAAAGGGCGCGUAGGCGGCCACGCACGUCCGUUGUGAAAUCGCCCGGCUCAACUGGGCGGGGUCAGCGGAUACGGUGUGGCUCGAGCAAGCUAGGGGGCAAUGGAAUUCCCGGUGUAGUGGUGGAAUGCGUAGAUAGUCGGGAGGAACACCAGUGGCGAAGGCGGUUGACCUGG